GAUUGGUUAGCGCGUGAGACUUUUAAUCUCAAGGUUACGAGUUCGAGUCUCGUAUCGGGCG
rnacentral:tRNA from 1 species